CAGCAAACAGCUCGAUAUUUUGCUUCGUCCACGAGUGGUCAUUACGCAGUCGUGGUCGACGGCAAGAUUCUACUUGGCCACGUGAAUAACUACGGUGUCACAUAUCUGAGUAGUGCAACGAACCGUACGUAUACGCACACCUAUGCAUACUUUUUCUCUCUUGACAAUCUACUACACACGAUUUCGAUCGAUCGAGGAAACCUAUCCGACUCGACGUGCGUCGACAGAAAGCUCCUGUGGAGUGCAGACUCGUCUUACAAGAGUGGAUUGCUUUCGACUACAUGCCAACGUGUCUCGUGGCAAAUAACGACGUGGUCUGGACCAACUACAUCAUACUUUACUCGCCAGCACAUCACGAAGCAA